ensembl:lncRNA
GUUUUAGGUGCCUGUCAUGUUCUCGAAAAUUCCUUGUUUAUAUGAGAAGCAUGAUGUUUGCCUCAUGUGUUUAUGUGUUGAUUACACGUGCCAGUGUUUUAAUUUGCGCUGAUCUUCCGGGAAUCUCGCUCACGGGCGCACUUGCACAGUAGCAAAAGGUGACGACAAAGCGUGUACUCUUAAUCUCAGGAAUAAUUAUCAAUCCUGAGAGAAAAAAAAAUCUAGCAGACUCAGCCCCUUAUUAUCCCCGAGACCGUGUAAAGACGGUGAAAGGGAGAAAAAGCAAACAGUGAACGCAGACGCUUAUGCGCGCUUCUCCUGCAUUGUGUCUCUCAGCCAGAGGAAUUUAAGGAGGUUUAAUUGCCUAAAACAGUCCUCUCGUCCACAUGACUGUCACACUGCAAGUGCUCAUGUUGAUACAUCGAAAUGUAACACCAGAUGACUGGAGAUGGACUGCCACUGGACUAGGGCCAUGCUGGAUAAGCCUGAAAGCAGUAGGCAGGGAUGCACUACAGGGGUAUAUGUGACACUUUUCUAAAGUAAAAAAAGAAGAGCUAUGAGCAUCCGAGGCGAUUUUUUUUCGAAGGCAGACGACCAAACAGUUAGUUUUUAUACUCAUAAGAAGUGAUAAAAAAAACAAAAACAAAACAAGAACAACAACAACCAGAGGAUCUGACUAAAAACACUAUCCAGGAUCAUCCACACACAGAUAUAGACUAGAUAUAGCUGAAGAAAAACUUUUUGAGAAAAACUUUUUGAGAGCGAUUUUUUUUUUUUGCACGAGCAGACGGACUUCCCUGCACCCACUGAUGGCCAGAGCAGGGAACAGAAAUUACUUUUAUAGCCACGACUGGGUUUAGACUGUCAGCAGAAAACCUUCUGAAGUUCCACCCGAAAAUCUUACGAAGAACAGAAGAGGGACAUCCGAACAUCUUCCAAAAAGAAGAAGGAGUGGAACGGAGCAGGAGACGUGUUCAUAUCCCCGACUUUACCCCGGUUGAGCUGGUUUGAGAUGUUCUGCACUGAAAAGAAAGGAGUGUGGAGCUCACCCUUCUCCCCAAGUUCAAAGGCACAGGAGCUCAGAGGGCUGGAUUUGUUCAGGCAUAUUUGGUAAACCCCUGGAUUUGAAUUGUAGUGUGCAAGGCCAGAAGAUGAUGUUUAAGAAAUGUUACAUUGUGAGAUUUUGUGUGAAAUCCCCAUAAUAAAUUCACCAAGUAUGCACAAGAAAUGGCUAUUCAUGUUUGUGGUCCAAAGUUUCUUCUUCUUCUUUUUUUUCCUUUCUGAUGUAACCUUAGAGGUAUAGGUGUAUGAAUAAAGUAUAUGUGACUUUUUAAAAGUCCAAAAAAACAA